GAUGAACGCUGGCGGCGUGCUUAACACAUGCAAGUCGAACGGUGAAGGCGGAGCUUGCUCUGCUGGAUCAGUGGCGAACGGGUGAGUAACACGUGAGCAAUCUGCCCCUGACUCUGGGAUAAGCGCUGGAAACGGCGUCUAAUACUGGAUACGAGCUGCGAAGGCAUCUUCAGCAGCUGGAAAGAAUUUCGGUCAGGGAUGAGCUCGCGGCCUAUCAGCUUGUUGGUGAGGUAAUGGCUCACCAAGGCGUCGACGGGUAGCCGGCCUGAGAGGGUGACCGGCCACACUGGGACUGAGACACGGCCCAGACUCCUACGGGAGGCAGCAGUGGGGAAUAUUGCACAAUGGGCGAAAGCCUGAUGCAGCAACGCCGCGUGAGGGACGACGGCCUUCGGGUUGUAAACCUCUUUUAGCAGGGAAGAAGCGAAGGUGACGGUACCUGCAGAAAAAGCGCCGGCUAACUACGUG
rnacentral:rRNA from 1 species